AGGGAAUAGAUACCCAGGUAGUCCACGCCGUAAACGAUGGAUGCUAGCUGUUAUGAGUAUCGACCCUCGUAGUAGCGUAGCUAACGCGUUAAGCAUCCCGCCUGUGGAAUACGGUCGCAAGACUAAAACAUAAAGGAAUUGACGGGGACCCGCACAAGCGGUGGAGCGUGUUGUUUAAUUCGAUGGUAAGCGAAGAACCUUACCCAGGCUUGACAUCCUGCCAAGUUCGCCGAAAGGCGAGUGUGCCUUCGGGCCGCAGUGACAGGUGAUGCAUGGCCGUCGUCAGCUCGUGUCGUGAGAUGUUUGGUUAAGUCCAUCAACGAGCGCAACCCUUAUAGUUAGUUGUAUUUCUCUAGCUAGACUGCCCUGGUAACAGGGAGGAAGGGGGGUAGGU
rnacentral:rRNA from 1 species